rnacentral:rRNA from 3 species
GCAUAUCAAUAAGCGGAGGAAAAGAAACCAACAGGGAUUGCCCUAGUAACGGCGAGUGAAGCGGCAACAGCUCAAAUUUGAAAUCUGGCUUCGGCCCGAGUUGUAAUUUGCAGAGGAAGCUUUAGGCGCGGCACCUUCUGAGUCCCCUGGAACGGGGCGCCAUAGAGGGUGAGAGCCCCGUAUAGUUGGAUGCCUAGCCUGUGUAAAGCUCCUUCGACGAGUCGAGUAGUUUGGGAAUGCUGCUCAAAAUGGGAGGUAAAUUUCUUCUAAAGCUAAAUACCGGCCAGAGACCGAUAGCGCACAAGUAGAGUGAUCGAAAGAUGAAAAGCACUUUGAAAAGAGGGUUAAAUAGCACGUGAAAUUGUUGAAAGGGAAGCGCUUGUGACCAGACUUGCGCCGGGCAGAUCAUCCGGUGUUCUCACCGGUGCACUCUGCCCGGCUCAGGCCAGCAUCGGUUCUCGCGGGGGGAUAAAGGCCCUGGGAACGUAGCUCCUCCGGGAGUGUUAUAGCCCGGGGCGUAAUGCCCUCGCGGGGACCGAGGUUCGCGCAUCUGCAAGGAUG